GAUGAACGCUAGCUACAGGCUUAACACAUGCAAGUCGCGGGGCAGCAUGGGGGUUGCUUGCAAUCCCCGAUGGCGACCGGCGCACGGGUGAGUAACGCGUAUUCAACCUGCCCUUCACGACGGGAUAACCCGGCGAAAGUCGGACUAAUACCGUAUGUUGUCCAUUGACGGCAUCCGAUUUGGACGAAAGGCUUGGCGGUGAGGGAUGGGGAUGCGUCCGAUUAGCCAGACGGCGGGGUAACGGCCCACCGUGGCUACGAUCGGUAGGGGUUCUGAGAGGAAGGUCCCCCACACUGGAACUGAGACACGGUCCAGACUCCUACGGGAGGCAGCAGUGAGGAAUAUUGGUCAAUGGGCGUAAGCCUGAACCAGCCAAGUAGCGUGCAGGAUGACGGCCCUAUGGGUUGUAAACUGCUUUUAUGCGGGGAUAAAGUGGCCCACGUGUGGGCUUUUGCAGGUACCGCAUGAAUAAGGACCGGCUAAUUCCGUG
rnacentral:rRNA from 1 species